UACGUAGGGUGCAAGCGUUAAUCGGAAUUACUGGGCGUAAAGCGUGCGCAGGCGGUUGUGCAAGACAGAUGUGAAAUCCCCGGGCUCAACCUGGGAAUUGCAUUUGUGACUGCACGGCUAGAGUGUGUCAGAGGGGGGGUAGAAUUCCACGUGUAGCAGUGAAAUGCGUAGAUAUGUGGAGGAAUACCGAUGGCGAAGGCAGCCCCCCUGGGAUAACACUGACGCUCAU
rnacentral:rRNA from 1 species